rnacentral:rRNA from 1 species
CUACGGAGGGUGCAAACGUUGUUCGGAAUCACUGGGCGUAAAGGGCGCGCAGGCGGUUUGAUUAGUCAGAUGUGAAAGCCCACGGCUUAACCGUGGAAGUGCAUUUGAAACUGUCAGACUUGAGUACCAGAGGGGGUAGUGGAAUUCCCGGUGUAGAGGUGAAAUUCGUAGAUAUCGGGAGGAAUACCGGUGGCGAAGGCGACUACCUGGCUGGAUACUGACGCUGAGGCGCGAAAGCGUGGGAGCAAACAGGAUUAGAAACCCGAGUAGUCC